UACGAAGGGGGCUAGCGUUGUUCGGAUUCAUUGGGCGUAAAGGGUGCGUAGGCGGUCGCGCAAGUCGGAUGUGAAAUCUCAGGGCUCAACCCUGAAACUGCAUUCGAUACUGCGUGGCUAGAGUGCUGGAGGGGAGACUGGAAUUUACGGUGUAGCAGUGAAAUGCGUAGAUAUCGUAAGGAAGACCAGUGGCGAAGGCGAAUCUCUGGACAGUUACUGACACUGAGGCACGAAGGCCAGGGGAGCAAACGGG
rnacentral:rRNA from 1 species